CUCUCUUUUAUGUGUUAUGUGCUGGACCGUUGGGGGUCCAGAUUUUACAGGAUAUGUGUGUUUCGUUGUUCGAGUCUUUGGUGAAGUUCUGCUCUGAUUGUGACACGGGAAAGGGGGUUGUAUAUAGUAUAUAGAGUCAUUCAUGACUCAUGUAUUUAGAUUGGAAAAAUAUAUCUUUUAUAAGGGAAUUUAUAUUGUAUAAAACGAG
rnacentral:lncRNA from 1 species